rnacentral:snRNA from 1 species
GUGCUUGCUUUGGCAGCACAUAUACUAAAAUUGGAAUGAUACAGAGAAGAUAAGCCCCUGCGCAAGGAUGACAUGCAGAUUCAUGAAGCAUUCCAUAUUUUU